rnacentral:rRNA from 1 species
GACGAACGCCGGCGGCGUGCCUAAUACAUGCAAGUGGGACGCAAGGGAACACACUGUGCUUGCACACCGUGUUUUCUUGAGUCGCGAACGGGCGAGUAACGCGUAGGUAACCUGCCUAUUAGCGGGGGAUAACUAUUGGAAACGAUAGCUAAUACCGCAUAAUAUUAAUUAUUGCAUGAUAAUUGAUUGAAAGAUGCAAGCGCAUCACUAGUAGAUGGACCUGCGUUGUAUUAGCUAGUUGGUAAGGUAAGAGCUUACCAAGGCGACGAUACAUAGCCGACCUGAGAGGGUGAUCGGCCACACUGGGACUGAGACACGGCCCAGACUCCUACGGGAGGCAGCAGUAGGGAAUCUUCGGCAAUGGACGAAAGUCUGACCGAGCAACGCCGCGUGAGUGAAGAAGGUUUUCGGAUCGUAAAGCUCUGUUGUAAGUCAAGAACGUGUGUGAGAGUGGAAAGUUCACACAGUGACGGAGCUACCAGAAAGGAC